UUGACCCGGCGUCUUGGCAGCAGCACUGGGAAGCUGCGUUGGUGAAUCCAGGUCCUCUGGUUUUCUUUCCUUCCUUCCUUCCUUCCUUCUGAAGGAAGCCCCCAUGAACGGGUCCCUGGGAUUAAGGGGGAAGCGGAGGUUUUAAUGAAGCAGACUCCAUUCUUCCGAGGGGUGAAGGGAGAUAACUUUUGAAGGGGAUAAAUGUAAGCAAAUGCUGAACAACAUGCCGAUUCUGAAGGCACAAAUCCCCUCCACAGAACUGCAAAUUGAAGACCCAAGGCUCCUGUUCUGUUGAAAAGAGACUUUUGAGCCCAACAAGGGGACCUUGAGGAGCUCUCCUGAGAGUCCCUUUCACAUAGAUAUGCACAGAAUGAAUAGUUUAUCUCCAGCUCCUGCUGACUUUCAUGAAUAAUUUGAUGUAAAAAGCUAAGUUGCAUUUCUGCUGUGUCGGUUAACUUGGAAGUACCAGCUUCUAAUAUUCCAGCCACAGACUGAAACAGACUUUCCAGUUUUAGAGGCCAAAGUGGCCUCCCUGGCUUCCACUCAUUGUGAAUACCUUACCUUUUCUCCUCCUUUAACUACCUGGCUGCUUCAGGCUCCCCAAAACAUGAAAGAGGCUCUAGAGCUUCCAGCUGACAGAACAUCUCUUGUGAAUGAAAGCUCUUUACUUAAACACAGCAGAUUUGGUGGGACAUACAGCUGUGAUUUUUACUGUUUCUCGUUUUCAUUCCCAGGUGUACGCCAGAAAAUCCUGUGGUCAGCCCUGAAGGGCAAAACAGAUCUCUGCUGAGCAGAGCAGCAGAGGGAGUGUCAAAGCUGCAUGUUGGAGAUUGGGAAGAAAAAUCUCACCUUGGAUUCAGGAGCUGGAAUUAAUCCUAAACUCACACUUCAGCCUUCUUCUGCCAGGAGGAUCAGCAUCGGGGUAGAGGCGCUAUGGGACAACUCCUUUCCUGGGACAAGGGUAGACACAGGAGAACCUGAACUUUUAUUACAAGCUGGAAAACUGAAACCCAAAGGUGGAAAUCUGAUGCCAGUGCAUUUCUUUCU